UACGAGUGCUCCAAGCGUUAUCCGGAAUUACUGGGCGUAAAGAGUGUGUAGGCGGUGCUCUAAGUUCGGUGUGAAAUCUCCCGGCUUAACUGGGAGGGUGCGCCGGAAACUGGAGUGCUCGAGCGUGGGAGAGGAAAGCGGAAUUCCUGGUGUAGCGGUGAAAUGCGUAGAUAUCAGGAGGAACACCUGCGGUGUAGACGGCUUUCUGGACCAUUGCUGACGCUGAGACACGAAAGCGUGGGUAGCAAACAGG
rnacentral:rRNA from 1 species